rnacentral:rRNA from 1 species
CGCUGAAAGCAUCUAAGCGGGAAGCUCGCCUUGAGAUGAGGUCUCCCACCACGAGAGUGGGUAAGGCUCCCUAUAGACGAUGGGGUUGAUAGGCCGGAGGUGGAAGCAUGGUAACGUGUGGAGCUGACCGGUACUAAUAGGCCGAGGACUUGACCAC